rnacentral:rRNA from 1 species
AGAACGAACGCUGGCGGCAGGCCUAAUACAUGCAAGUCGAACGAUGUAGCAAUACAUAGUGGCGCACGGGUGAGUAACGCGUGGGAAUCUGCCCAUUAGUACGGAAUAACUGCGGGAAACUGCAGCUAAUACCGUAUACGCCCUUCGGGGGAAAGAUUUAUCGCUAAUGGAUGAGCCCGCGUAAGAUUAGCUAGUUGGUGGGGUAAAAGCCUACCAAGGCUACGAUCUUUAGCUGGUCUGAGAGGACGACCAGCCACACUGGAACUGAGACACGGUCCAGACUCCUACGGGAGGCAGCAGUAGGGAAUAUUGGACAAUGGGGGAAACCCUGAUCCAGCCAUGCCGCGUGAGUGAUGAAGGCCUUAGGGUUGUAAAGCUCUUUUACCAGGGAAGAUAAUGACGGUACCUGGAGAAUAAGUUCCGGCUAACUUCGCGCCAGCAGCCGC